rnacentral:sRNA from 1 species
AGUCCAACGAAACCAGCACAUAUUGCUUAUAGAAGGGACACGCUGCGAGAAUGCCUCACAAGCACAAGCGGAGGCAUAAAGAUGACUUCACCAGCUUUGACCUUCCUCCGAUGAAGGUCGCAAAGCCCCUUCCGGCAAAAGAGAGUAAUGCAGACUUCAAGGAAUCUGCCAACAAAAAGCGCAGGCUGAAAAAGCCGGCCCAAAUCGCCUUCGAAGAUGAUACCCCCAAGGCUUUUCUCCGCAUGAUGCACCAGUUCCAAAAAUCUACGUCUGGAACAACUACACGGUCACAAUCUGGUCUUGAAGAUGACGGGACAAAGCCCAACAAAAAGCGGAAACGAGGAGAACGGGAGGGGGCCACAGUUAUUGCCAAUGGAGGGGGGAUGGCAUCGAAGAGAACCGGUAAUAGUAAAAAAUCCAACUCGGAACCUGGACAACACUCUAUAGCAACAUCAUCGCAGCCUCCUGCUCCGCCACAGACGUCUACUGCUAUCCCAAAAAUCCUCCCCGGCGAACGCUUAUCCGAUUUCUCCGCGCGAGUCAACCGGGCCCUCCCGUUCUCAGGCAUCUCGAGAAAAUCGGGCUCGUCAAGUGUAAGCAAGGAUCCCGCGCUGAAGAACCUGAGAGAACACAGACAGACCAAACAUGAACGGCGGCUUCUACGGCUGCAGCGGGAAUGGAGGGAAGAAGAGGCGCGGAUUAGAGAGCGGGAAGAGGCUGAACGCGAAGAAAACGAGGCGGAGGAGGAAGAGAUCAAUGAGCAGUGGAAGGCGUGGGAGGCCGAAGCGGGGUUGACGAAGAAAAAGAAGGGCACCACUGCCAAGAAGAAUAAGAAGAAGAUCAAGAAGAGAAAGAAGAGUGGAAGAGGUGACGUGUUGGGCGGUGCUGGUGGAAGCGAUGCUGACAAUGUUGCCAACAACAACAAUAACGAUGAUGAUGAUGAUGAUGACGAGGAUGAUCCGUGGGCGAAGCUUAAUCGCAAAGCGAAGUCUAUGCAACCUGCCAACCCACUUGAGGUUGUGCAGGCGCCUCCUGCACAGCUGACGAAACCGAAGGAGAAGUUCAAGGUGAGGGGCAUGGGUGGUGCGAAAGUCAAUGUGGUCAAUGUUCCGUCAGCGGCCGGGAGUUUACGGGCCCGGGAGGAGUUGGCGGAAGAGAGGCAGAGCAUUGUAGAGGAGUAUAGGAGGGUUAUGGCAGAGAGGAGAGGGUGAAAAAGAAUACCUAUUUGUUUUACGUCGUGGUAUCACAUUGUUAUUUGUUAAAUUUGACGGCGAUUCAACUGCGGAAUUGAAACUUCAAUUCGCUAUAAAACAACGCUUUGAAAUGCAAGAGCAAAAAAAAAAUAAAGAUAACUUUUAAAAUCUUGCUAGAAUCUCGAUCGCCUUGAGAUCUGAGUCCAGAUAGGUAUCACGAGCGGCGAAUGCAUACAAAGAAAGGGUCUAUAUCUUCUUUCAACUCCGAGCUGUCUAUAUCACUCCAUUCUUAACCUAUAUCAUUGUCCCGCCUUUAUGGCCCUCACAUAGUCCGCAGCCCUCGCUUUAACCUCAUCUACCAUCUUCUCAUCACCAGUUUUCUCUUCAAACGCCAGCCAUUUCUUGAAAAAGAACUUGGCUUGCUUAUCCUUCAACCUCUUCGCCCCAGGUUUAGUUCCAUCCGCCGCAAUGGGAUGUCCCAGCCCCAGAACUCUCUCAAACAACCUCCUCACCUGUUCCAUGUCACCGUUCUUGAUCUCCAGGUCAAGCAGCACAUUCCACAGAUCAACGCGUUUGGGGAAUGAAGAGAUGAGGCCUUCAAAUAUCGUUCGUCCACGUUCGAUGUCUCCGUUUGGAGAGCGGAAUUCCAACUGGCCAAAUUUCGACGUGAUAUCGACGUGAGUGUGGGUUGGGAGUGAUUGGAUGGCGCGCGGGAGGAGUGCACGUCCCCGUUCCGGCUCAGCACGUGUGUCGAAAAGGAAGGUAGCGAAAUUGAGAUAGAUGUUUGGGGAUUGGGUGAAUUUCUUCUUGAGAAUUGCUUGGAAGAGCUCGUCCGCUUUAUCAUGCUUUCCAGACUGGAUGUAUAUGCUAGUCAACCGCUCGUGGAUCUCCUGCGGAUCGUUGUAUUGACAAGCACGCUUGAAAACAUCCUCGAGAGUGUCAUCGUUUCCAAAAGUGUUCUCCAAGUUAAGCAUCGCGACCCAAAUGUUAAAUUUUUCCGUAUCUUGGCCGAUGCUGAUUGAUCGAAGCGCUCGUUCCGCGAUCUCUCGUGCUUUAUCAACCUCACUCAGCUCAAGUUGGAAGGCCAUGUACUUCAGCCAAAGCAAACUCGAGUUGGGUUCACCGAGUAAGAGGCGCUCAUAAUCCGCGACAGACUGCGGACCAUUGGUGUCAAGGUCACCCGUUCUAUCGACUUGGAUCUCCUGUUUCCGACGCUUCUUCUUCUUCACAGCGGUUUUGUUGUCGGAGUCGGAAUCAGACUCAUUGUCCUCAUCAGUACCGACGGUGUUGUUUCCAUUCCAGUCAAAUCCAGAAGUGACUAGGCCUCCCGUUAUACCGGCAUCUUUCGUUCCGGUCAUUUGUACAUCCCAGUCACUAGAGUCACUCUCACUAUUAUCGCCAUUCAUGGUAUCCUCUAAGUCGACUCCUCCCAUUGAAAUGUCAUCGCCAGAUUCAAGCUCGAGAUCCAUGCCACCAUCGUACUGGCUUUCACUCACAUUUUCUUCGCUCUUGUCUUGAACGUUUUCACCAUCCGAUUCGUCAUCGCUAUCUUUGAAAUAGGAGGCUUUCAAUCCCAAAGAAAUCCGCUCCUUAUUAAGGUCGAUCUUGACGAUUUUGGCUUUGACAAUAUCACCUUUCUCAAAGAGCUUUCUUGCAUCCUCUACUUUCCCCUCUGCCAUCUCCGUUCGAUGACAGAGACCACUGAGAUUGGC